rnacentral:rRNA from 1 species
CCUACGGGUGGCAGCAGUGAGGAAUAUUGGUCAAUGGACGAGAGUCUGAACCAGCCAAGUAGCGUGAAGGAUGACUGCCCUAUGGGUUGUAAACUUCUUUUAUAUGGGAAUAAAAUGUUCCACGUGUGGGAUUUUGUAUGUACCAUAUGAAUAAGGAUCGGCUAACUCCGUGCCAGCAGCCGCGGUAAUACGGAGGAUCCGAGCGUUAUCCGGAUUUAUUGGGUUUAAAGGGAUCGUAGGUGGAUUGUUAAGUCAGUUGUGAAAGUUUGCGGCUCAACCGUAAAAUUGCAGUUGAAACUGGCAGUCUUGAGUACAGUAGAGGUGGGCGGAAUUCGUGGUGUAGCGGUGAAAUGCUUAGAUAUCACGAAGAACUCCGAUUGCGAAGGCAGUUCACUGGACUGCAACUGACACUGAGGCUCGAAAGUGUGGGUAUCAAACAGGAUUAGAUACCCGAGUAGUC